UUAAAAAACUUUGAGAGAAAGCCCAAAAAGGACAAUAUCUGCUAGCGGGGCCAGGGCCGUUACACAGUUUUAGGAGAAAUUCCUCUGAUUUGGAGAUUGAAAAUUCUAGUUCACUCUUUUUUUAUUUAUUUAUUUAUUUUUAUUUUAUCAAAAAGAUGUAACAAAUGGACCCUUGGAAUGGAUGGGGCCUUUUCCAUUAGUUCUCUAGUUCAAAAGUUGAGUGAAAAGGACGAAGGCAUUGGAAACUCCUUGGUUAAUUUCAUAUGGAAAUCUAAGGUCCCUAAAAAGGUUAAGGUCUUCUAUUGAUUUUUUCUCCUAGUUGGUGUCUUUUCUGCUAAAGGAAUGUGAAAGACAGUCCGACUUCUUUUUCGCUCCUACCCGUAUGCUUCUUCAUGCUAGAAUGCUCUGAGUUGCAACAUGUUCUCAAAGGGGCGAGAUAAUGGGUGAGUCCAUGGUUUUCUCUCUCUCUCUCUCUCUCGCAGUUUUGUUUUCCGAGACAAUGGGUUAGUCCAUGGGCGAGACAAGUAUAAACUAUCUUGCUCUCAAUUCUCCAUUUGUUUUCGGAGAGAUACAUGUUCUUUUGUAAUUCAAAAAGGCUAAAAUUCUAGAUGCUAAGUAAAUUUAAAUCUAGCUAAAUCUCUAGAUAUUAGGUAACAAUACAGAUAAAUAAAUAUCUAGAUACUAGGUAACAAUUUAGAAAAUUAGUGAGGUCAACUAUUUCCCUGAUUUAAAAUAAUUACAUAAAUAUCUCUUAACAUAAGAAUAGGAAUUACACAAAUAUUCCUUAAAUUAAGGUCAUUCCUUCCAUACUCCCCUCAAGCUGAUUAUCUAUUCCUACCUUGGACAUUAACUCAUGAAACAUUGAGCUAUGGAGUCAUUUUGUUAGUAUAUUUGCAAGUUGAAGUUGUGAAGGCACAUAAUUAAUUCAUUAUCCCCUUUAAUUUUUCCUUGGUAAAAUGUCGAUCAAUUUCAAUAUGUUUUGUUCUAUCAUGCUGGAUAGGAUUAUAUGCACUAUUGACAACUGAUUUGUUGUUGUCGUAUAACUUUAUUGGAUCUUCUCCCGUAAUCCAUAAGUCAUCAAGGAUUAUCUUCAACCAUAAGAGUUCACAGAGCUCUUAUGUAAUAACUUGGAAUUUUGAUUAAACAGAUGAUCUAGCCACCACAUUUUUGCUUUUUACUCAUUCAUGUUACCAAAUUACUCCAAGAAAAGUACGUACUUCGUGGUAGUUCUUCUAUCCACAAUUGAUCCAACAUAGUCAGCAUCGAAGCAAGCUUUCAAUGUAAGAAAAUUUUUCCGUUGAACAAAAUUUCUUUUCUUGAAGUUCAUUUUAGGUAACGUAAAAUCUAUAUGCUUGCUUGAAGUUGGGAGUAUGCUAUGUUUGGUCUAGUGUAAGCUAGAUAUAUGAGCCUCCCCACUAGCCUCUGGUUUACAUCUACUUUGCCUUGUUUCCAUCAAUAAAUCCAUCACAUAUUUCUAUUGUGAUAUGAAAAUGUCCCGAGUUAAGUGCACUACUUCAAUGGCAAGAAAGUACUCAAGUCUUCCAAGUUUUUUAAUCUCGAAUUCUUUCAUCAAUUUCCUUCUAAGUUCAAUUUUUUCUUAUUUAUUAUCUCCAUUGACUAUGAUGUUAUCUACAAAUACUAGAAAUAUUGCAACUCCCCUUGAUUUCGAAUGCUUGAUAAAGAGAAUGUGAUCUCUUUGAUUUUGUUUAUACCCACAAUCUUUCAUUACCAUCGUGACACACGGCUUCGCACGCUCCUGUCAUCAACAGUGGUCUACACUCCAUAACAAUAGAAUAACAUUGAAUGAGUAUAAAAAUACUUAGUAAGCAACCUACUUAUAGGCUCUUGUUGGACUUGAUCCUAUACACAGAAACUUAGGCUAUGUGCUCAUAACUGUCCCUAGCGAUGGAUAAAUUUUGGCUUAACGUCUGUACCAAACUUUGUAGGUCAUUGUGUAACUAACCUUCGAUGCCUUUCUAGAGGCAUAAUCACAUCGUGGAUUGUGACACAUAGCUUCGCACGCUCCUGCCAUCAAAAUUAGUCUACACUCCAUCUUAAAAAAAAAAAAAA